CUGUAACCUCUCAGAGAGAAGCUGUGAAGCUCUGUCCUCAGUCCUCAGCUCUGUGUCCUCUUGUCUGAGACACGUGGACCUGAGUAACAACGACCUGCAGGAUCCAGGAGUGAAGCUGCUGUGUGAUGGACUGAAGAGUCCUCACUGUUCUCUGGAGACUCUCAGUCUGUCAGGUUGUCUGGUCUCAGAGGAAGGAUGUUCUUCUCUGACCUCAGCUCUGAACUCCAACCCCUCCCAUCUGAGAGAACUGGACCUGAGUAACAAUGACCUGCAGGAUCCAGGAGUGAAGCUGCUGUGUGAUGGACUGAAGAGUCCUCACUGUUCUCUGGAGACUCUCAGUCUGUCAGGUUGUCUGGUCUCAGAGGAAGGAUGUUCUUCUCUGACCUCAGCUCUGAACUCCAACCCCUCCCAUCUGAGAGAACUGGACCUGAGCUACAAUCAUCCAGGAGACUCAGGAGAGAAGCUGCUGUCUGCUGGACUGAAGAGUCCUCACUGGAGACUGGACACUCUCAG